CCUGGCGGCCUUAGCGCGGUGGUCCCACCUGACCCCAUGACGAACUCAGAAGUGAAACGCCGUAGCGCCGAUGGUAGUGUGGGGUCUCCCCAUGCGAGAGUAGGGAACUGCCAGGC
rnacentral:rRNA from 1 species